GUGGCUCGAGGACGAACGCUGGCGGCGUGCUUAACACAUGCAAGUUGAACGGUAUGACAUGGAAGCUUGCUGAAGUGUCAUAUAGUAGCGGACGGGUGAGUAAUGCAUGAGAAGCUGCCAUUGGGAGGGGGACAACAGUUGGAAACGGCUGCUAAUACCCCGUAUGCCGGAGGGUGAAAGGGAGUAAUCCGCCCGAUGAGGUGCUCAUGUCCUAUCAGCUGGUUGGUGGGGUAACGGCCUACCAAGGCGACGACGGGUAGCCGGCCUGAGAGGGUGAACGGCCACACUGGAACUGAGAUACGGUCCAGACUCCUACGGGAGGCAGCAGUGGGGAAUAUUGGGCAAAUGGGGGCAACCCUGACCCAGCGACGCCGCGUGGGGGAAGACGGCCUUCGGGUUGUAAACCUCUUUUGUACGGGAAGAAGGAAGUGACGGUACUGUACGAAUAAGUCCCGGCUAACUACGUGCCAGCCGCUGC
rnacentral:rRNA from 1 species